rnacentral:rRNA from 1 species
UUGACUGUACAAAGGUAGCAUAAUCAUUAGUCUUUUAAUAGAGGGCUGGAAUGAAAGGUUUAACGAGGAAUUGACUGUCUCAUUUUAUUUGUUUUAAAAUUUAAUUUUUUAGUUAAAAAGCUAAAAUCUUAUUGGAAGACGAGAAGACCCUAUAGAGCUUUACAUAUAAUUAAAUAAAUAUUUUUAUAUUAAUAUCUUUAUUUAAUUUUGUGUUUUGUUGGGGUGACAAAAAUAUAUAAAUAACUUUUUUAUUUAAUUAACAUUGAUUUAUGAGUAUUAGAUCCAUUAUUAUUGAUUAUUAGACUAAGUUACCUUAGGGAUAACAGCGUAAUAU